rnacentral:rRNA from 1 species
GACGAACGCUGGCGGCGUGCCUAAUACAUGCGAGUAGAACGCUGAAGGAGGAGCUUGCUUCUCUGGAUGAGUUGCGAACGGGUGAGUAACGCGUAGGUAACCUGCCUGGUAGCGGGGGAUAACUAUUGGAAACGAUAGCUAAUACCGCAUAAGAGUAGAUGUUGCAUGACAUUUGCUUAAAAGGUGCAAUUGCAUCACUACCAGAUGGACCUGCGUUGUAUUAGCUAGUUGGUGAGGUAACGGCUCACCAAGGCAACGAUACAUAGCCGACCUGAGAGGGUGAUCGGCCACCCUGGGACUGAGACACGGCCCAGACUCCUACGGGAGGCAGCAGUAGGGAAUCUUCGGCAAUGGACGGAAGUCUGACCGAGCAACGCCGCGUGAGUGAAGAAGGUUUUCGGAUCGUAAAGCUCUGUUGUAAGAGAAGAACGAGUGUGAGAGUGGAAAGUUCACACUGUGACGGUAUCUUACCAGAAAGGGACGGCUAACUACGUG